rnacentral:tRNA from 1 species
CAGGGAGACAACAAAAUGUUUAAUAUUAUUAUUUUGUCACCUUAGGUCGAUCGGUAUCUCACAUUUUUAAUUUAUUAAGAAUUUCAUUUCCUAAGUUUUUCUAGGUCACACCCAUUAUUUUCCUGGGCCAUUAGCUCAGGUGGUUAGAGCGCACCCCUGAUAAGGGUGAGGUCCCUGGUUCAAGUCCAGGAUGGCCCAUAUCUCUAUGUUGGGGGUAUAGCUCAGUUGGUAGAGCGCCUGCUUUGCAAGCAGGAUGUCAGCGGUUCGAGUCCGCUUACCUCCACUGAUUACCACCUCUCUCAUAACUGGUAGAAAGGAAAUUUUUUGAGUUGUGAUCAAAUUCUGAAAGAAUCUAGCUUCCUAAUGAAAUCAUUAAGAUGCUGGACUCAUUGAAUUAAUUUCAUUGUUUUCAGAGAACCUUGACAACUGCAUAGAUUAUUUUUAAAGACAAUAAGCAUCUUUAAUGAUGCAGAUUUAUUAUUUGUGCGAAUGCAUUAAUAACAAUUCUAUUAAGCUGAUGCUUCAAUUUUUGAAGUUAUU